UACAGAGGGUGCAAACGUUGCUCGGAAUCAUUGGGCGUAAAGCGCACGUAGGCGGUCUGACAAGUCGGGUGUGAAAGCCCCGGGCUCAACCCGGGAAGUGCAUUCGAAACUGUCAGACUUGAGUACCGGAGAGGGUGGCGGAAUUCCCGGUGUAGAGGUGAAAUUCGUAGAUAUCGGGAGGAACACCAGUGGCGAAGGCGGCCACCUGGACGGAUACUGACGCUGAGGUGCGAAAGCGUGGGGAGCAAACAGG
rnacentral:rRNA from 1 species